rnacentral:rRNA from 1 species
GGGAUUGCCCUAGUAACGGCGAGUGAAGCGGCAACAGCUCAAAUUUGAAAUCUGGCGCAAGCCCGAGUUGUAAUUUGUAGAGGAUGCUUCUGGGUAGCGAUCGAUCUAAGUUCCUUGGAACAGGACGUCAUAGAGGGUGAGAAUCCCGUAUGUGACCGGCCCGCACCCUUUACGUAGCUCCUUCGACGAGUCGAGUUGUUUGGGAAUGCAGCUCUAAAUGGGAGGUAAAUUUCUUCUAAAGCUAAAUACCGGCCAGAGACCGAUAGCGCACAAGUAGAGUGAUCGAAAGAUGAAAAGUACUUUGGAAAGAGAGUUAAAAAGCACGUGAAAUUGUUGAAAGGGAAGCGCCUGCAACCAGACUUCGCGGCAGUGUUCCGCCGGUCUUCUGACCGGUUCAUUCUCUGUCGCGAGGCCAUCAUCGUCUGGGCCCGCCGGAUAAGACCUUGGGAAUGUAGCUCACCUUCGGGGGAGUGUUAUAGCCUAGGGUGAUGCGGCGAGGCUCGGGCGAGGUCCGCGCUUCGGCAAGGAUGAUGGCGUAAUGGUUGUCGGCGGCCCGUCUUGAAACACGGACCAAGGAGUCUAACAUCUAUGCGAGUGUUCGGGUGUCAAACCCCUACGCGUAAUGAAAGUGAACGGAGGUGGGAACCGCAAGGUGCACCAUCGACCGAUCCUGAUGUCCUCGGAUGGAUUUGAGUAAGAGCAUAGCUGUUGGGACCCGAAAGAUGGUGAACUAUGCCUGGAUAGGGUGAAGCCAGAGGAAACUCUGGUGGAGGCUCGCAGCGGUUCUGACGUGCAAAUCGAUCGUCAAAUUUGGGUAUAGGGGCG